rnacentral:rRNA from 1 species
UACGGAGGGUGCAAGCGUUAUCCGGAUUCACUGGGUUUAAAGGGUGCGUAGGUGGGCAGGUAAGUCAGUGGUGAAAUCUCCGGGCUUAACUCGGAACGGUCAAGUGAUACUGUCAGACUAGAGUACAGAAGGGGCAACUGGAAUUCUCGGUGUAGCGGUGAAAUGCGUAGAUAUCGAGAGGAACACCUGCGGCGAAGGCGGGUUGCUGGGCUGAUACUGACGCUGAGGCGCGAAAGCCAGGGGAGCGAACGGG